GCCUGAGUGGCUCAGUCGGUUAAGCGUCUGACUUCAGCUCAGGUCAUGAUCUCACGGUUCAUGGGUUCAAGCCCCAUGUCGGGCU
rnacentral:tRNA from 1 species